rnacentral:lncRNA from 1 species
GGACUAAUAAUUUUAUCAAGUGAUUAACAGGUUUUAAUUAUAAAGAAGUGCAAAGGUGUCUGAAAGGAAUCUUAGGAAACUCCUAACUUCAAAGAAAGAAUGGUGUUGAGCUCAAAAGAAGACUCAUUCAUAAUUUCUAAUUUUAAAUUUGAGUAUAGGAACGCCGUACUAUUAAGGGGGAUGCGGAUGGAUAGCUUCAAGAUGCUAAAGUGCUCAAUUGAAGAUGCAAACCACCUAGUGAGAGAUACAAUUCACUCACUUGCACAUCCUUUACCUUAGUUUUUCUAUGAGUGUCAGAAGUUCCGACGGGGUGUCGGAAGUUCCGUCACUAGACGAAAGUAUUCAGAAACUCCUGACUAGGGUCCUCUGCCGAUUUAUUUUGAAAGUAUCGGAAGUUACGACACUCCAUCGGAAGUUCCGAUAAUUAAUGAUCAGAUAUUUGUUGAAACUCCUGAUAGUGGUCCUCUGCCAUUUGACUUAAACAUAAAUGUACUAUAACGGCUAGUUUUGGAGGCUUAGGUAUAAAUACCCCCUUAGCCCCCCCCCCUCAUUCAUUGUUGCUAACCUACCCAAGCAAGAACACCUCUUUGAGCAUUAAAUACUCCCUUCCCUCUCCCCUUUGAGCUAAAUCUUUGAGAGUUUAAGCUAGGGUUUGGGUGAGAGCAGGAUUGAGGGUGUGAGACUUGAGGUUUUGAGGGUGAGGUUCAACUUGUUCAUCUCAAGAGCACUCCAAGCAUCCUCGGCUUCGAUUCGUGUUUGUUACUCUUGAAGCUUGCUUCUAGACGGCUAGGCGUCGCCCGUUUGAGCGCCCUCCUUGUGUGGUGCGCCUGGGAACGUUUGUAUUACCCAUCCUUCAUGGAUUCAUAGUAAUUCACUCAAUCCUCCUUUGUGGUUGAUUGAGGAAGGUAAAGGGUUAGUGAGGACCCGGCUCUUUGUGAGCUCCUCAACGGAGAUGUAGCUCCCUUUGUGGAAGUGAACUUCGGUAAACAAAUCCUUAUCUCUUGUGCUUGUUGUGUUCUUCGAUUUCUUUUUGACCUAGAAGCUUGUUUUGGGCCGAUCUAUAAAUUUGUGUAGUUACUUGCUUAUCUAUCACCUACAGUAGUCCCUACACUUCAUUUACAAUCUUUUGUUUCAAAUAGAAUUGGCAGAUUCAGGUUGCAUUUUGAAUUUCGUUCAGCUCACUCUAUAUUGUUGGAAGUUCCGAUCCUGUACCGGAAGUUCCCAUCCAUCGAAAGUUCCGGCACAGUGUCGGAAGUUC